AGUCAGUGACGAAACGCGUUAGGGCGGAGCUGCUCUGACGUCAUCAUCCUCCGGCUAUCUCCGUCCCGAAGCAAGUGGUCCAGUGAUCCGACCCGCGGUGACCGCUGUUGGCGGCCAGGUGCGGGAGGUAGGAGUCCAGGGAGCCAAGAGAUGAGCCCUUCGAGAAAUUAGAAAGGACAUUGACAUUCUCCAAAACUUUCCCCAGAGAAGUUUAGAAUUUGAUCAGCAUUCAACAUGACGAUGAACGGAAAACUGCAAUAAACAUACAGGUCACUAUAAACAUUGGUGAGAAUAUCAUCUGCUCUAAACUGUGAAUGGAUCCUUUGGGUUUAAAAACUGCUCAUGUCAGCUUGUGUUACAUCCUCUGACGAAACCGCCGAUACACAGGUGCGGAGAAACGCAUAAUAACAAAGGAACUGCAUCCACUGGACACACCGUCUCACCGGCAUUAUUCCUCUGACAAGCCCAGCCAGCAUAUUACCUGCUCAUACUAUGCAGCAAUCUGAGUAAGGACUGCAUUACAACGGCGGCUGAGGAAGUUCUUAGAUCUGGUAAGAGAGAGCCCCAUAUGUUCAUGUCAGCAUGGCUGCAUGGACAUUGAUACUACCGCUGUGGGCACAGGUGGAACAUAGCACCGCAACGCUAUAGAACAUCUCCAGCGCCCUCCCUCUGCCCCUAUAUGCAGUCAUUUUAUUCAAUAACGGAAGAUGACUUACUAUCGUGUCUGCACUGUCAGACUAAUGCCUCAUGUUUUGCCGUCACUACUUCUAAAUACACUGCAUUAUGGAAAUUAA